rnacentral:rRNA from 1 species
UACGUAGGUGGCAAGCGUUGUCCGGAAUUAUUGGGCGUAAAGCGCGCGCAGGCGGUCCUUUAAGUCUGAUGUGAAAGCCCCCGGCUCAACUGGGGAGGGUCACGCGAUACUGAUCAACUCGAAGGCAGGAGAGGGUAGUGGAAUUCCCGGUGUAGUGGUGAAAUGCGUAGAUAUCGGGAGGAACACCAGUGGCGAAGGCGACUACCUGGCCUGUUCUUGACGCUGAGGCGCGAAAGCUAGGGGAGCAAACGGG